CUACGGGGGGCAGCAGUGAGGAAUAUUGCACAAUGGGGGGAACCCUGAUGCAGCAACGCCGCGUGGAGGAUGACGCAUUUCGGUGUGUAAACUCCUUUUAUAUGUCAAGAAAAUGACGGUAGCAUAUGAAUAAGCACCGGCUAACUCCGUGCCAGCAGCCGCGGUAAUACGGAGGGUGCAAGCGUUACUCGGAAUCACUGGGCGUAAAGGACGCGUAGGCGGGUUGGAAAGUCAGGUGUGAAAUCCUACAGCUUAACUGUAGAACUGCACUUGAAACUUCUAAUCUAGAGUAUGGGAGGGGAGAUGGAAUUAGUGGUGUAGGGGUAAAAUCCGUAGAUAUCACUAGGAAUACCUAAAGCGAAGGCGAUCUCCUGGAACAUUAUUGACGCUAAGGCGUGAAAGCGUGGGGAGCAAACAGAAUUAGAUACCCCUGUAGUC
rnacentral:rRNA from 1 species